UACGUAGGUGGCAAGCGUUGUCCGGAUUUACUGGGCGUAAAGAGCGCGCAGGCGGCCAGGUCAGUCGAAUGUGACAGCCCCCGGCUCAACUGGGGAGGGUCGUUCGAUACUGCCUGGCUCGAAGGUAGGAGAGGGAAGUGGAAUUUCAGGUGGAGUGGUGAAAUGCGUAGAUAUCUGAAGGAACACCAGUGGCGAAGGCGACUUUCUGGCCUAUUCUUGACGCUGAGGCGCGAAAGCUAGGGGAGCGAACGGG
rnacentral:rRNA from 1 species